rnacentral:rRNA from 1 species
GAUGAACGCUGGCGGCGUGCCUAAUACAUGCAAGUCGAGCGAACAGAUGAGGAGCUUGCUCCUCUGACGUUAGCGGCGGACGGGUGAGUAACACGUGGAUAACCUACCUAUAAGACUGGGAUAACUUCGGGAAACCGGAGCUAAUACCGGAUAAUAUAUUGAACCGCAUGGUUCAAUAGUGAAAGACGGUUUUGCUGUCACUUAUAGAUGGAUCCGCGCCGCAUUAGCUAGUUGGUAAGGUAACGGCUUACCAAGGCGACGAUGCGUAGCCGACCUGAGAGGGUGAUCGGCCACACUGGAACUGAGACACGGUCCAGACUCCUAAGGGAGGCAGCAGUAGGGAAUCUUACGCAAUGGGCGAAAGCCUGACGGAGCAACGCCGCGUGAGUGAUGAAGGUCUUCGGAUCGUAAAACUCUGUUAUUAGGGAAGAACAAAUGUGUAAGUAACUAUGCACGUCUUGACGGUACCUAAUCAGAAAGCCACGGCUAACUACGUG